rnacentral:lncRNA from 1 species
NNNNNNNNNNCUGGCCUAUUGCAAGACCUCCUCCCUCUGUAGUGCUCCACUAUAUUUAGUGUAGGUUCCAAGCUCAACAGCAGAGCCAAUAUCUCCAGCCUGAUCAAGGAAUAUACUUUGACUCUUUGAGUAUGAGCACUCAAUGCCAAGGAAAACCAAAGCUUCAUAUGUAGCACGGUUCAAAUCAAGUCAAAUUCUCUAUCUCACCAUGUGUUUUUAUUAUUUUUUAAUCAUCACCAUCUAUAUAUAGCUAUCCAUGCAAAAUCAAAAAUUAGGCCAAAAACAAACCCCAAUCAGAUCAAUAACACACAACAAAUACAUCAAUUAGAUCAUGUUAGGAGCUAAAAAGAACAUACCCACAGCAAAUGGUACCAACAAAACCGUCAACAUGCAAACCAACUCAGAACCAAUCCGACGAACACAAAACUUCUGAUAACAGAAUGAACACACAGAGAGUCUGCCGGACCACCGCCAAUUAAAAACCCAGACAGGAGUUUACGAAUUGGUGAAAGUAUUGGCAAUUUGGCAUUAAAACAAAGAUAAAAGACGAUCAGGACAAUUGAAACAGAAACUCAAAAUCGAUCAUAUACAGAGCAAUGUCCUCACCUUGAUUAUUUGAUCAUAUACAAAACAAAGUCCAUACCUCGACGAUUAGAUUGAGAAGAGCAACACAGAAUUUCAUUACACGAAACCCAUCUCUCUCUCGGACUACAAAGAGCGACAGAGAAGAUGGUCAAUACUCAACACACUCGAACCCAUCGUGCAGAAGAACCCAUCAACGCCAGACGUCGACGAAAAACACAAACGGCAACAACCUACUCACAGAUGUCAAAUGCAGUUGUAUAAAACAACAGGUGUCAAGACAGAGCAGAUAAUGGUAAUUUUGUAAUUAAUUGCGAACCGAAGGCAUAUUCAUCUUUUUCCAGGCUGAAUAAACAGUUGUAAUGCCUUCCUGC